CAGUAGCCGCGGUAAAACCAGCAGCCCAAGUGGUGGUCGCGAUUAUUGGGCCUAAAGCGCUCGUAGCCGGGCCGGUAAGUCCCUUGUGAAAUCGGACGGCCUAACCGUUCGGCGUGCAAGGGAUACUGUCGGUCUUGAGGCCGGGAGACGUCCGAGGUACUCCGGGGGUAGCGGUGAAAUGUUCUGAUCCUCGGGGGACCACCGGUGGCGAAGGCGUUCGACGAGAACGGGCCUGACGGUGAGGGGCGAAGGCUAGGGGAGCAAACGGGAUUAGAUACCCGCGUAGUCCCUGUCUCUUAUA
rnacentral:rRNA from 1 species